GUGGGGAAUAUUGCACAAUGGGCGAAAGCCUGAUGCAGCAACGCCGCGUGAGCGAUGAAGGCCUUCGGGUCGUAAAGCUCUGUCCUCAAGGAAGAUAAUGACGGUACUUGAGGAGGAAGCCCCGGCUAACUACGUGCCAGCAGCCGCGGUAAUACGUAGGGGGCUAGCGUUAUCCGGAAUUACUGGGCGUAAAGGGUGCGUAGGUGGUUUCUUAAGUCAGAGGUGAAAGGCUACGGCUCAACCGUAGUAAGCCUUUGAAACUGGGAAACUUGAGUGCAGGAGAGGAGAGUGGAAUUCCUAGUGUAGCGGUGAAAUGCGUAGAUAUUAGGAGGAACACCAGUUGCGAAGGCGGCUCUCUGGACUGUAACUGACACUGAGGCACGAAAGCGUGGGGAGCAAACAGGAUUAGAAACCCUAGUAGUCC
rnacentral:rRNA from 1 species